rnacentral:ncRNA from 1 species
AAACACGCACAGCGGAUACUUCAUCAGGCGGAGUAUACUUCGUCAUAUCCGUUGUAGCGAACAAAAAGGAGGAAUAAACGAACCGUCCGGCUUGCGGUGCGGCAGUGUGAAGACCUGUCGUAAGGUCCGGCUCCCCGGCGGAGCAGGGCGAGGUGUGUACAGAGGAGUCUGCCACACUUAAGCUGCUAAUAUGGCA